GUCUAGGGCCAUACCAUCCUGGACGCACACCAUUUCCUCAAAUCUGGGAAGCUCAGCAGGGUCAGGCCUGGUUAGUACUUGGAUGGGAGAAUACCAAACAACCAGGAAGGGUAUAAAGA
rfam:Ailuropoda melanoleuca scaffold1114_55, whole genome shotgun sequence.